ACGGAACUUAGGCUGUGUGCCGGAGGCCAAGAUCCAGUCGGAGGGAGACAGUAUUAAAAGUGAGAGAGCCUGUAAAAGCCCAUUUCCUUUCCUUGAUUCUUAGCGGAUACUUUUAUGCAAGAUUAUGUAGUUUUUUUUUUAUGCAAGGCCCAAGUCAGUAUAUUUAAUAACACAUAUCACAGGUGUUAUGAAGCAGAGACAGUACCAAACACUAUGGUUAGUAUGCUGUAGGAUUUGGUGUAUGGCACUCUUAAGCCGGUUUUACACUGUGUGAUUCCAGUGGUCGUUUAUAAUUAUUAAUCAUCACACUGUAUGAAAUAAUUCAAAUAAGAAUUCUAUAACAGACUGUGCAAUAACAUGUGCUCUUCAUUUCAGAUUAUACAACGACGAUCCUAUGAUUAAAGAAAAAUUACUAUUCUGCUGUACUAUGUCAGCAGUGCAGCACAGGUUUGUAGUUCAUUGACUGGAAAUCAAGAAAUAGUUUUGCAUUGUCAUAAUAAUAAAUAAACUGUGUAAACAGAGCAUUUGUGUGCUAAUUAAAAGAUUAUCCUUUACGAUGUGUGAUUAUGCCUGCGACAGCAAAAUCAGGCCAAAAAUCAUACAGUGUAAAGCUGGUUUUGGUCGGGAGUAAAGAUCGGUGGUCUUAGAACGUGUGACGGACUCACCCAUGGCCGAUUUAAUACUACUGUGACCGAACACAGCUGAUCAUUGAGUUUAUUUACUACUAUGACAAUGUGAAACUCAUUAUUUUCAUGAUUUCCAAUUGAAGAUCUACUAAUCUGUGCUGCAUUGCUGCACACCCAGUAUGAAUUUAAUAAUUUUCUUUAGUCAUAUGUCUAGGAUCAUCAGCAAUGAUGUAACUCAGUUUAUUUUUAGGAAGUGUUUCGCCUUGGCAUGAUGCAACACAAAAACAAUUCAGAAUUCCCCUGCAAGAUCCGCCUACCAGUAAUAGCCGAAAAACUCUCAAUCUCCCUCCCCCCCUUCUCCAUAACCUGCAGCACUAUCUGAGUGUGAAUGUGAAACUAAUCCAGUGAGAAAUACACUUUCCCUGUUCAUAGGUGGAAAUCAGACUUGAUCACAGAAGUGUUUCUCUGUUUCCCUGGUAGUUUCUGAUAUAUUUAGCAGUUAGUAAUUAAGUCUUUUUCAUUGGUUAGCUCUGACAUGCAAAUACCUUUAUUUUUUCAGUGCAGUGCACAACAUUUGACUGGAAAAAGAAAUUAUUAUAUAGGUAUAGUAUCUGUGACCAAGCUUGACUUUUUUUUUUUUUUAAAGUGACAAUUUAAAAAAAAAAAAAAUGUCACAUUUUGUUUGCAUGUUGUUACACCAAACUGCAUAUGUUUGACUACUGAAUAUAGGAGUUAUGUUAUUCUUAAUAUACUACUGUUCUCAUGCAUUUACCACACAUUCUUCAUAAAUUAGGAAAGAAGGGUAUAAUAAGUGCACUGUUGAUCUACUUAUAUAUUAGAUACACACAAUAAAUAUAUUCUCCCAUGUUUUAACAAUGUCACCAAUUAAUGUCACAUGGAGAGUUUGACUAUAAUUAAUACAGUGGUUUUGAUGAUGCAUGGAAAUGUUGAUGCAGUUAACUAUAAUGAAAGAGCACUUCCUAUUGCAUGAUGGUAAAUGACACACAGAUGCAUGAAAACAUUGAGAAAGUAUCUGAGAACCAUAAAACAACCACAAGGUCAUGAAAGUUUCUGUUACAGUUUCUACUACAAAUUAUUUUGUUCACUGUUCAACUCUAAACAUGCCAAUAAAUCCACAUGUGCCCAGGCUUUUGUUUGAGACCUCUGGUUUUCAGCAUUAUAUACUGUUAAGUAAUAUAUUUCAUGUUAUUUUUGAUAAAGACUUCACUUGAGAAACACUGUUGCUCAGCAUAAUUUGCGUAUGUUUUGUGGGAGUUUUUUCCCCCUAAAACAUGUAUUCUUUCACAGAAAAUAUUACUUUUCUUGUACAAUAUCUUGAUGUAUAUGUGGUUAAUAUUAUUGCCAUACUGCAAUAUGUUCCACAAUCAUGAAUCAAUGUUUCUGCAGAACUUGGCAAAAAUUUGUUAUAAACCACAACUCCUUUGAGAAAUGAAAUGAAAGUAGUUAAGUAUUAUAACUUUAUCUACAGUAUUACUGUUACACCUAAGAAAUUCUUUCCUCUGCAAAAACCUCUGCAUCUAUUCAUGGCUAAACUGUUACACCUGAGAAAUUCUUCCCACUAAGUGAUUGUUUAUGUGCUUCUGAAUGUGUGUGGGAUAUGGUAUGUUUGAGUGUGGCAAUCUUGGCUCUGUGACAGUAUUGGGGGCGUGCUGAUAGCUGCCUCUUAAUCCAGGGGCAAGUUUCACCAGCAGUAAAGCAGCUUUUGUGAAAGAAUUAAGAUGUGAGUGAGUGGGCAGCAUUCUCUCAUAUAAGGUGGUGUCUAGCAGAAUGGGAGAUGCUCAUUCAUUCCAACAACAUGGAAACGACUGUCUUCAUCCACGAAUGCCAGAACUUAACUAAGACUUCCAAAGGCAUGCAGGAGUCCAGGCACUUCCAGUACAAUUCCAGGUAUCUCCUACUGACACUUGUUACUCUGCUGGGGCUCAUGUUUGGAGGAAUGGUUGGACUUUUUACAGUUUGGAUGUCACAGAAUGUAGUCAAAUCAAGUUUCACUUGUCCACAGGUAACACACCAGGUGAAUGUCUCACAUCGACUGAUUAUUUCAGGGGAGGAAAGCUCAUAUCCUAUCUUCACAGUUCAACAAAAUGGGACCUACUUUUUCUAUGGCAAAAUGCAAAAGAAUGAAACAAGCACUAAAAACUGUAUAGAUGAGAUCAGGUUGGCCUUGAGGAGGCCAACUGUGUCAGAAGAUGUAACUAAGGAAGAAAUUAAGGAAGCCAGAUUUUGUAAAAAUUCUGGAAAUUAUGUGGCUGAAAUUGUGGCUGAAGUCCAGCUGGAAGAAAACAGUGUGGUGUACUUGGAAAUCAACUGCCCUAUAAAUAAUGACAAGACAAGUUUCUUUUACAGAGUUUUGUACAUAUCACAAUGAUAUUAUAUCAGUUAAAAUCAGUUAAAACAUUACUUAUCCUUUCUCUUAAGCUUCAUAUUUAAGACUGCACAACAUCCUUGAAAUAUUGAGCUGCUUUCUGUUGCAUGUAACAUUUAAAUAAUACCUGCUCUGUAUGAUAUGUAUAAAUGAAUUACUGAAUAAUGAUUUUAUUCUGUCAUUUAAAUUCUGUCAACACAUAUCUACAUAUACAUAUAAGAUAUAUGUUUGAUUCAUAUUUCUCAUACUGUGACAUUUCUACAAUUAUUUUAUAA